GUUCCUUCAGGGGGAAAAAAAAUCUCCUAAUGUAAUUCAGUUGAGCUCCUCCCAUUUCUGACCUGUGAGUCAUGAUAAACCCUCCAGGGAGCUCCUGCUACUGACUCGAUCUCCCACAGACACUGUCAGUCUGAAGCAUCCACUGAGUAAUGUGAGUUCAUCCAGGAGGAAUCCACAAGAAAUGAUGAAUAUCCAGUUUAUCUUCACCUCACUCCUAGCCCUGGCCCUCUCAGGGCCUGGGGGAGCAGACUGGAUCAAACCCCAGGAGACAGAAGUGUCUGGAACAGAGGGAGAGAGUGUGAAGCUCCUUUGUAAUUAUGGUACCUCAUCUAGAGGUACUUUUGAUCUCUACUGGUUUCGACAGUACCCAAACCAGGCACUGGAAUUUAUUCUCUACAGAGGGUGGGGAUACACUGGAAAAGGAGACGCCGAAUUUGCCAUAGGAAAGUUUUAUUCAGACAGUUCCGCAGAUACAACAAAUUUGUACUUCAGAAAAUUGGAGUUUGCAGACACUGCCCGGUAUCACUGUGCUCUGAGAAAGCCACGCUGAGAGCUCUGCAUAGAGCAGCUGUACAAGAACACCAGCGCAUGGGAGGAAGGAGAAUGCAGCACCCAGCAUCACACGGACUUUUGUGUUGGUGGAGAUGAGAGGCCAAGUGAGGUGGA